UACAGAGGGUGCGAGCGUUAAUCGGAAUUACUGGGCGUAAAGCGUGCGUAGACGGUUAUCUAAGUCGGAUGUGAAAGCCCCGGGCUCAACCUGGGAAUUGCAUUCGAGACUGAAUAGCUAGGGUGCGGUAGAGGGAAGCGGAAUUUCCGGUGUAGCGGUGAAAUGCGUAGACAUCGGAAGGAACAUCAGUGGCGAAAGCGGCUUCCUGGACCAGCACCGACGUCAGGCACGAAAGCGUGGGGAGCAAACAGG
rnacentral:rRNA from 1 species